CUACGUGCCAGCAGCCGCGGUAAUACGGAAGGUCCAGGCGUUAUCCGGAUUUAUUGGGUUUAAAGGGAGCGUAGGCGGACGAUUAAGUCAGCUGUGAAAGUUUGCGGCUCAACCGUAAAAUUGCAGUUGAAACUGGUUGUCUUGAGUGCACGCAGGGAUGUUGGAAUUCAUGGUGUAGCGGUGAAAUGCUUAGAUAUCAUGAAGAACUCCGAUCGCGAAGGCAUAUGUCCGGAGUGCAACUGACGCUGAGGCUCGAAAGCGUGGGGAGCGAACAGGAUUAGAUACCCUGGUAGUCCACGCCGUAAACGAUGAGUGCUAGGUGUUGGAUCCUUUCCGGGAUUCAGUGCCGCAGCUAACGCAUUAAGCACUCCGCCUGGGGAGUACGACCGCAAGGUUGAAACUCAAAGGAAUUGACGGGGGCCCGCACAAGCGGUGGAGCAUGUGGUUUAAUUCGAAGCAACGCGAAGAACCUUACCAGGUCUUGACAUCCCGAUGUUAUUUCUAGAGAUAGAAAGUUA
rnacentral:rRNA from 1 species